rnacentral:rRNA from 1 species
AGGAUUCAGUCUGGAGUUGGCGUCGAGCUGGUCGGGGGCUUCCCCGGGGCCGUCCGACUGCAAAGGCCAGACGCAUUUGUCUCCCGCCCUAAGGACGCCGCAACCGGUCGGGCAGUGCAAACGUGACGUCCUGGAAGUGGGGCACCGGCAGGUGGCCGGUGGCGUGCCGAGUGUGCGUCGCCGGUUGUUAGCCAGCCCCUCGGUGGACCGUCGCCCGACCGAGGUAUCGAGAUGCCCUCAACGGGCGCUUACGUCUCCUCCUCGUCGGGACGUGCCGUCGCGAGUGAAGGCAGCCGCGCGGCCGCACCCUUCAGGGUGGGCCAGCGGCCGCCGGUGACGGAGGACCCGUCGGAGGUCGGAGGUUGGCGGCGAGUAGGUCGGUCACCCACCCGACCCGUCUUGAAACACGGACCAAGGAGUCUAACAUGUGCGCGAGUCAAUGGGUCUCGAUUAAGCCCAGAGGCGCAAUGAAAGCGAAGGGCUUGCCUAGCGCUGCCCGAGUCGGGAUAGGCGCACCGACGACCCGUCCUGUGCCUUAUUAAGGCUUGGGCGGAGUGUGAGCGUACACGUUGGGGACCCGAAAGAUGGUGAACUAUGCCC